ensembl:lncRNA novel transcript
UUAAAUGGUUUGUAACCAAUGUUUGAUUUGUCAAAUCCAUAAUUCUGGUAAGACAAUAAAAACUUCAGGUGAUACAUUUCUAGCACCUGUUGGAUAUUUGAACACUUACAGAUGGAUUUUCUUCAGUUGCCACUUUCCAUGCAUGUUUUCUGCUUGCCUAAAAGAUUUUCCAUGCAGGAAGGCUAAUGCUAUAACAGUAGCUAAAUGCUUACUAGAACAUAUGUUUUCCUUAUGGGGCAUUCCUGGAGAAUUUUCCAGUCAUAGAGGUACUCAUUUCACUGGACAAGUUGUAAAACAGUUAAGUAAGGUAUUACAAACACAAUGGUAUUAAGCAAAGCUAAUAGAAUCAAUUGUAUUACCUUGGUAAAAGGUAUUACUGACUGAUGGCAAUCAGACCUACCCUUAGUGGAAAAUACAGAUUAACUCCUUAUGAAAUAGCUACUGGAAGGCCUAUCCUCCUAAUAAUAGAAGCUCACAUGUCUCCUGCUCUUACAAACUCUGACAUGACACAGUAUUGCAAGGCUUUAAUGCAUUAUGCCAAAGUACUAGAGAAAGAUUGCCCUUGAACUCCAUUGAAGGGAUCAUCCUAAGUUUUUCUCUGUAGCAAAAUUUUAGGGCCUCGAGUCUUGGAUCCUUGAGUUGUGGGGCUUCUCUCAACUCAAAAAGGCACCUCCAGACUCUUACAGGCUCACUGGAGACCUCAAGGUAAAACUGACCGGAGAGGUUUCUCUUCAGAAGCAGAUGGCAUCCUAGAUGUUGACAGCUUUCCCAAAAUCACAGAUCAUCAAGACUUCUCUCUUCUGUCACUGUAAGAUCUUUGUCCUCUUUCUCCUUGUAUUUGUUUUCUGUUUAUAUGUGGCAAGAUAAUGUGAUAACUAAGAUUUCAUAAUUGAUAGCUUCUGCAGGGAACUUAACUGAAUGCUGGGCAGAUCAUGUUAAAUCUAAAUUAUUAUGUGACCUUAGAGAUUCUCUGGUUCACCCUGUAACAAAUUUCACUGAUAUUCCAAGUGUGGCUAUCUGUUCAAAUUGCUCAUCUGGUCCUUUAUGUAGGGUUAGGUUUUUAGAUUUAUGGGUUCAGAUUCCCUGUUUAAAUCUAAGAGUAGACAAAAUCUAUAAUGAGGGUUUUGCAGUAAAAUUAUGCCAGAAAUUGACUGAGAAAACCAAAGUAAAGAUAAUUCAACAGUUUGUAGACAAAUUAAUAACAUUAAUCCCUUAAUUGUCAGUAGCCUCCAACCAUGCAAUGAUUCAAUAAUGGAGCCUUAGAUAAAUAUUACUAGUGCUUCCCUACUGAUGACUCUUAAUGCAUAAGACAUCCCACAGGGAUCUGUCUGUUGUGCCCCUCUAGGAUAUAUUUUUAUCUGUGCAAGAUUUAAUAACAACCAUAUGUGUGGGCAAGUUCAUGUCUCAAUAAUUAAAAAAUAAAAAGGACCAAUGUGGAUUAAGGAUCCUAAUAAUAGUGUCACUCCAUAACCAAUUGGAAACUUCACAUUGGUCUAAACCUCGUAAUUUGUAGUAUGAAAUAAAGAGGAAUUUGCCAGAAGGUAUAAAUGCCUCUAAAUGGGCAUCUUUUGGCAGAAUACUCCUUUCUUGGUUUGGUAUAAAUGUAAAUAAAGUUUGAUUAGAAAUCUAUGUUAAACAUUAGCUACUAUAGCUGACUCUACUGAAAAGGAUAUAGUUAUCCAGCAAACUUCUUUAAAUUUUCUUGCUUGAGUUGUUUUAGAUAACAUAAUUGCUUUGGACUAUCUGUUGGCUGAAUGGGGGGAGUGUGUGUGAUAGCUAACACCUCCUGCUGCACUUGGAUAAAUACAUCUGGUAUGGCAGAAACUCCGUUGCAAGAAAUCAACAAACAAGCUACUUGAUUAAAACAAGUAGAUUCCUUUUCUGGUUCAUUUUUGAUAUAUUUGAUUUUGACCAGUUCAAUCUGUGGGGGCCCCUGUUAAGGAAUAUACUUCAAUCUCUCAGCAUUAUUUUCUGAUAACCAUCAUAAUAGUCUCCCUGAGGAUAUGUGCCAUAUCCUCUCAGGAGGUUUAAAUGUUCAUAUGUAGCCAUCCGUUGUAUGUCAAAUGGUCUCACUACAGUUAGAAAAACAAAAAUAUGAAGAGAAUAUAAAGAGUCAUCCAAGUGACUUGUUGUUGUGAAGUAUGAAUCUCAUACUGAGAACAAACAACCAUUGUUAUGGUGACAGAGGGUGGCAUCAAUGCCCAAGGUUUUGGUCAAUCUCUCAAAAUGGAGAAGGAGACCAAAGAGGGGAAAUUGUUUUAAAUUAAUUUUGGCUUAAAGCUGUUUCUGUAUGUAACAACUGCAACCUAACUUAAGAGUAUAUUCUUGUGAUAAGUAGCUGAGUCUCAGCCAAUCAUAGCAGCUGAGCUUCAGCCAAUCAUAGCAGCUGAGCUUCAGCCAAUGAAAGGUUGCCGACUGAUCAGACCACGUCCAUAUAAGGCAAACGCUGAGCUGUAACCAAUCAAGCUGUUUCUGUUGUCACUUUAUUUUUCUGUCUGUAAAUAUGCCUGCCCACAUUGCUGGGUAGAGGAGGUUCUAAGUGCUUCCCAAUUCAUAAAUUGUUCUCUGCUCAAAUAAACUCUGCUAAAUUUAA